UACGGAGGGUGCAAGCGUUAUUCGGAAUUAUUGGGUGUAAAGCGCAUGUAGGCGGUUUAGUGUGUCAGAUGUGAAAGCCCGGAGCUUAACUCCGGAAGUGCAUUUGAAACUGCUAAGCUUGAGUCUCGGAGAGGAAGGUGGAAUUCCCAGUGUAGAGGUGGAAUUCGUAGAUAUUGGGAGGAACACCGGUGGCGAAAGCGACCUUCUGGACGAUGACUGACGCUCAGAUGCGAAAGCGUGGGUAGCAAACAGG
rnacentral:rRNA from 1 species